rnacentral:rRNA from 1 species
UGGGGAAUUUUGGACGAAUUGGGGGCAACCGUGAUCCAGCCAUCCCGCGUGUGCGAUGAAGGCCUUCGGGUUGUAAAGCACUUUUGGCAGGGAAGAAACAGCCUGGGAUAAUACCCCGGGCGGACUGACGGUACCUGCAGAAUAAGCACCGGCUAACUACGUGCCAGCAGCCGCGGUAAUACGUAGGGUGCAAGCGUUAAUCGGAAUUACUGGGCGUAAAGCGUGCGCAGGCGGUUUCGGAAAGAAAGGGUGUGAAAUCCCAGGGCUUAACCUUGGAACUGCACUUUUAACUACCGAGCUAGAGUACGUCAGAGGGGGGUAGAAUUCCACGUGUAGCAGUGAAAUGCGUAGAGAUGUGGAGGAAUACCGAUGGCGAAGGCAGCCCCCUGGGGAUGAUACUGACGCUCAUGCACGAAAG